UCUUUUUUCUAUUUCUUAAUUCUUUUACCGAAACAGAAAAGGGUGUUGUCGGUCUCCUCUUUCUAUUUCAAUUCAGAAACUUCGCUUUGGGCAGCAAACAUAUCAAACGAGCACAAGUUUUCUCGUUUAAUUUGGAAAGGACACUUUAUGCUUGGUUCAAUUAAGCCCAACCCGAAUAAGCUGGAUCUGCCCAAAUCAACGGCUCCACUGUUAAGCUCUCAGUUCCGUGUGAUUUUGAGAUUUUCAUCUUCUCUCCCAGAGCUCUAUGAAUUUUCAAGUCCAGGAAACUAAUAGGAGAUGGUUUGAACACAUGCUCCUUACAAGCACUGCAAGAGAUAGAGCAGCAAGUGCUAAAGAGUGUCAGAAAUGUUCGAGCAAGAAACGUGAAGUUAAUGUACACAAUUUCAUGACAAAGCCCUAAAAGCAGAAAACGCAAGGCUUUCUAAGAAGAUCUGGUGCAGAACUCGUGAACUGUUUCCAGAGUGUAUGUUUGGACUAAGGAAUUAAAAGGAGAUGGAAAGCAAAGUUCGUAUAGAUGUUGAUUAUUUGAUUUAGAACCAUUCAUUUCAAUCUAAAUUACGAAAAAGAGCAUGAAGUUUUUACUGCAUAUUGUAACAUGAUUGCAUUUGAAUGAAAGAGACGAUAUUGAUUUUGGUGUGCUGUAUCGUAUAUGAAGGCAAAUCAAGAAAGACAGAAUCAGAGUAAAAAUAUUUCAUCUUUAGAUAUGGAGACUGAUCUGUUCAUCAGACUUCCAAAAAUUACAGGAUUAUGAAAUCAAUUAUGACAUCUUGUAUACAGAUCACAAUUGUUCCAGAAACAAUGUUGAAGAUUACGAAGCAAGAAGUAUAAUAAGCAUGACUUGUCAUUGUACAAGUUAUCUUCCAUGAUUUUUGGCCGUUGUUCGUACUUGUUUUGUUCUUUUGAUUUCUAGUUGCAUGAAUAAUCUAAGCAACCUUGAUUUUGCACCAUAUAUGACCCCAUAACCUGACAUUAUUUAAUGAACAUGCCUUUGGAUCAGCACAUGCAAGCUAAGCAUCAAAUUUUGGCGAUUAAUUACUUGAGGCAAUUAAUCUGAUGAAUCCAUUUUUUGAGAUAAUUUUCAUAGUGAUUUGAGAGUUGGUUGUUUGUGUGUGUGUGUGUAGAGUUCAUUGUGGAUAUUAAUAUUCAUGUGGUUUUGAAAUAGCUAGGUGCUUUUGGGCGUGAUUUUAACAUUAAUCGAGUCUCUUUUAUGCGAAGAAACUUAAGGGGCAAAACUCUGUUU